rnacentral:rRNA from 1 species
CACACCGCCCGUCACACCAUGGGAGUUGGUUCUACCUGAAGACGGUGCGCUAACCGCAAGGAGGCAGCCGGCCACGGUAGGGUCAGCGACUGAGGUG